AGAAAAGAGUGGCUCAAAGGGAAGGAAGUGGCGUAAAAAUGUAAAGGCAGUAGAAAAGGAGCUGCUUCUUCUGGAAGAAGAUGUAAAGGCUUUAGAAGAGAUGUAUCCUCAAGGUGAAAAGGCGGAGACUGCAUGGGCCAUGACUGUUCUUGGAUACUUGGCCAAACUAGUGUUGGGGGUUUUAGGGUAAGUGCGAAUUUUAUGCAUAUCAUUAAUUGUGACUUUGACAAACAAAAUGUUAUUUUGAUUUCCUUGAAACUGUCAUUUUUUGGGGUCUCUGCAGAAAAUUUUAGAUGAAAAUUGUGUUAUCACACC